rnacentral:rRNA from 1 species
GACGAACGCUGGCGGCGUGCCUAAUACAUGCAAGUCGAACGCUUCUUUCCUCCCGAGUGCUUGCACUCAAUUGGGAAGAGGAGUGGCGGACGGGUGAGUAACACGUGUGUAACCUACCCAUCAGAGGGGGAUAACACUUGGAAACAGGUGCUAAUACCGCAUAAGAGUUUAUGCCGCAUGGCAUAAGAGUGAAAGGCGCUUUCGGGUGUCGCUGAUGGUUGGACACGCGGUGCAUUAGCUAGUUGGUGAGGUAACGGCCCACCAAGGGCACGAUGCAUAGCCGGCCUGAGAGGGUGAUCAGCCACACUGGGACUGAGACACGGCCCAGACUCCUACGGGAGGCAGCAGUAGGGAAUCUUCGGCAAUGGACGAAAGUCUGACCGAGCAACGCCGCGUGAGUGAAGAAGGUUUUCGGAUCGUAAAACUCUGUUGUUAGAGAAGAACAAGGACGUUAGUAACUGAACGUCCCCUGACGGUAUCUAACCAGAAAGCCACGGCUAACUACGUG